AUCAGGAACACAUUUCAGUUUUAUCAACAGUCGCACAUGCAAAGGUCUUUGAAGAAACCCCAUGUAUUUUCAUGGAUUUCACGGAUUUGGGAAGAAAGCUGGGAAUGAAGAUUAUCAGAGACAAAAACAAGUUGUUGAUCUUGUUAAGAAUUCAGAGGCUUCGAAAAAUAUCUGGUAGACAUAAUCAUAUAUAUUUUUGUCUUAACUGGUAUGCUUUCCCCCUAAAUUUCCUUGAUUAAGGUUUUUAAAUGUGAAAUAUACACUAUAGUUUUAUUUUUUCUCAAUCACAUAAUUACACAUAAAAAUCUAGUCCUUUCAUUUGUAGAUUUUUUCCGUCUCUUUGUCUUCAAUUUAUUACUAAACUUAAGCUUGUAAUAGCUAGCUAGGAAUAUGGCGUAUUGUGAGAAAACUCUAUGAUUGAAGGUGAUUAUGAGCAAGUAGUUGCAAGAUCAAUGUUGUAAUCCAUGAUUUGCAAGUGCUUUGUUUGUUUCAGUUGUCAUUUUGAGUAUUGAAUUGAUUUUCGAAGAGUUUUUUU